UGGGGAAUAUUGGACAAUGGGCGAAAGCCUGAUCCAGCCAUGCCGCGUGUGUGAAGAAGGUCUUCGGAUUGUAAAGCACUUUAAGAUGGGAGGAAGGGCAGUAAGCGAAUACCUUGCUGUUUUGACGUUACCGACAGAAUAAGCACCGGCUAACUCUGUGCCAGCAGCCGCGGUAAUACAGAGGGUGCAAGCGUUAAUCGGAAUUACUGGGCGUAAAGCGCGCGUAGGUGGUUCGUUAAGUUGAAUGUGAAAGCCCCGGGCUCAACCUGGGAACUGCAUCCAAAACUGGCGAGCUAGAGUAGGGCAGAGGGUGGUGGAAUUUCCUGUGUAGCGGUGAAAUGCGUAGAUAUAGGAAGGAACACCAGUGGCGAAGGCGACCACCUGGGCUCAUACUGACACUGAGGUGCGAAAGCGUGGGGAGCAAACAGG
rnacentral:rRNA from 1 species